CCUCUUUGAUUCUUUCCAAACUUGAUAAAUUCACUACUGCCACGUAGGAUUUUUGUAUACGUGUCCUAUUCUCUUCAUUCUACGCGUUUUGUCUUCUUCUCCCUUAGAUGAAUCCCAUUCUAAUUAGGUUACACGGUUAGACACCCUCCCCAUCCUUCUCCUACCUUAAGCAAAGAAAACCCUAAAUCGAUAUUCUUUUUAUCUUAAUCUCGAUCCCUUGUAUCAAUUACAACGAUUCUUCCCUAUUCCUUUCAUCUGAAUCACGAUCUCUUUAAACCAAAUUCGCACCAUAUGAUGAUAUACCUUAAAUCAAUAACACCGCUCACCUUUCUGAUGAACACUCGAAUAGCCCAUCAGAGAUUUUUCUCCGCCGCAAUCGCAAGCAUUCCGGCCAAACUUCGCUGGUGUCGAUCGAACUCCAAUUGAAGGCCUUUGAUGUCUAAUCCUCGGACCUGAUAGGUUGGCGCUUUUUGUGGAAGGGGCUCGAUCUACUCAAUCAAAGCUUUUGGCAGAUCAAGAAUGCCAGUGGCCUUAAAUAUUCCCUUGCUACUGGGAACCGGGGGCAAUUGACAUUUAAAGGGAUUGCUGUUAUUAUCAAUAUUGGAUGUGUAUGCUUUCGGCCUUUUAUAGUUUUAUCUUGGUACUCCAGAUGCUCAAAGGAAUACUUGUGUCGUGUAACCAGUGAUUACUUAGUUAGUAAAGGAUGAUAAAAAUACAUUAUUUAUUGUAUUCUUGGUUUAAAGAGGUUGGCUGUUGAUUUAAUUUGUUUUUAGCUUUGUAAUGGUGGUGACUGGUGGUUCAAUCCAGUGAAUAGGUGAGUCCCGGUAAUCAUAAUCUCCUAUUUUGGUCAUAUACUAUCCUUUGGAAUAGAUGUAUAAUUUUGUAUUUGCAUUUCUUGACAUAUGUUCAUGUCUUGGUUUUGUCUCUCUUUAUAAAUUUGGCAAACGUAAUCACUUAAAUGACAUUCUUGAUCCACAUGGUAUAUGUGUACUGGUUAGACUUUAUCUAAAUUCAUGCAUAAUUCAACCACAAUGUUUUCUUAAUAAUUAUAUCACUGUAUCAGGAAACCAGUGAUCAUAUUGGGAGCAAACAUUUCAGCUAGAGCUAAGAGGAUGGGUAGCCAAAGUGAUUUUUUUUUUGUGUAGGCAAUUUGUUUUCCUUGUGGGAAGUGGCGUUGGGAAUCGUCAUCGUGCGAAAACUUGUCAGGAAUUGGGUUUCAUUAUUUACAAUGAGACUGAUUAGUCUUCAGUUGAUAUUGAAUUACAGACAGUAUUUUUUCAUCAAUGCAAGAAGUUGUUUGUACCACACCCUUAGAUGAAGUCAUAGGUGAAGUCUUGAAAGCCAAAUGGGAUCAUGAGAGGACUAAAUUUAUGGUUUCUAUUAUAGAUAACAAGGUUAAAUAAAUAUUUGUGUGUAAAAAUUGUAAUUUGUUAUAUAUUGUGUAUUUUUAUUGUAAUAUU